rnacentral:rRNA from 1 species
GGUCACGAUUUCACACUGCCAAGAAAAGCCUCUAGUGAGGGGGAAGGCGCCAGUACCGUAAACCGACACAGGUAGGCGAGAUGAGAAUUCUAAGACGCGCGGGAUAACUCUCGUUAAGGAACUCGGCAAAAUGGUCCCGUAACUUCGGGAGAAGGGACGCUCUACAUGAGUAGAGCCGCAGUGAAUAGGCCCAAACGACUGUUUAGCAAAAACACAGGUCUCUGCUAAAUCGCAAGAUGACGUAUAGGGGCUGACGCCUGCCCGGUGCUGGAAGGUUAAGGGGAUGGGUUAGCGCAAGCGAAGCUUUGAACCGAAGCCCCAGUAAACGGCGGCCGUAACUAUAACGGUCCUAAGGUAGCGAAAUUCCUUGUCGGGUAAGUUCCGACCCGCACGAAAGGCGUAACGAUUUGGGCACUGUCUCAACGAGAGACCCGGUGAAAUCAUAGUACCUGUGAAGAUGCAGGUUACCCGCGACAGGACGGAAAGACCCCAUGGAGCUUUACUACAGCCUGAUAUUGAGGCUUUGUGCAUGAUGUACAGGAUAGGCGGGAGACGUCGAGCCCGGAGCGCCAGCUUCGGAGGAGUCACCCUUGGGAUACCGCCCUUCAUGCAUAGAGUCUCUAACUCGCAGCCGUGAUCCGGCUGGAGGACCGUGUCAGGCGGGUAGUUUGACUGGGGCGGUCGCCUCCUAAACAGUAACGGAGGCGCCCAAAGGUUCCCUCAGAAUGGUUGGAAAUCAUUCGUAGAGCGCAAAGGCAGAAGGGAGCUUGACUGCGAGACCUACAAGUCGAGCAGGGACGAAAGUCGGGCUUAGUGAUCCGGUGGUUCCGCAUGGAAGGGCCAUCGCUCAACGGAUAAAAGCUACCCUGGGGAUAACAGGCUGAUCUCCCCCAAGAGUCCACAUCGACGGGGAGGUUUGGCACCUCGAUGUCGGCUCAUCGCAUCCUGGGGCUGGAGUAGGUCCCAAGGGUUGGGCUGUUCGCCCAUUAAAGCGGUACGCGAGCUGGGUUCAGAACGUCGUGAGACAGUUCGGUCCCUAUCCGUCGUGGGCGCAGGAAAUUUGAGGAGAGCUGUCCUUAGUACGAGAGGACCGGGAUGGACGCACCGCUGGUGUACCAGUUGUUCCGCCAGGAGCAUCGCUGGGUAGCUACGUGCGGACGGGAUAAAUGCUGAAAGCAUCUAAGCAUGAAGCCCCCUCCAAGAUGAGAUUUCCCUUUGAGUAAUCAAGAAAGACCCCUCAGAGACGAUGAGGUAGAUAGGUCACGGGUGGAAGCAUGGCGACAUGUGGAGCUGAGUGAUACUAAUCGGUCGAGGCCUUGUUCUA